UUAUUUUAUUCAUAAAAAGGAAAUUUGUCACACAUUGGCAGAAUCUAGAAAUAAUGGUAUUGGCUACACAGCACAUAAACAAUGGAUUUAAAUGGAAUCAAAAUAUCAUCUUUUGCUCGAUAGUUCAUUUAGUGAAAAGCUUGAGCAUGCUACACUAACAGAAAAUAAAAUCAAAGAUACAUGUGCAUGGAGCGUCUUUGCCCAAAAUCAAAGAUAAUGUACCAUAAGCCAUUCUUCAGAUGAUUGCACAAAAUCAAGCUUACCCAGUGCAUUGCAUAUGAACCAUCAUCGAGAAAGAUUUAAUUUUCAAUAAUGCGCAAACAAACAUAAAUCACAGCGGAAUCCAAAAGCAGCGGAAUGAGAUUGGCUGAGAUGUGGUGGGUAAGGCCAACAUAGAGAUGUUGGUACUAACAAUUUUUAUACCGUGAUGAACAGAAGGAAGUUUUUGUUUUGUCAAAAUGCAAUUGGAGUGCAGAUUAGGUAUCUUUCUGUUUUCCAACGUCCAAAAAAUCAGAAUUAGAUAAAGAUGGAGAUUAGACAGCAUCUUCAACAAAGAGUUUAUCAGUUAUACAAGUCAGGCUUUAACGUCCAAAUAAUCAGAAUAAGAUAAAGAUGGAGAUUAGACAGCAUCUUCAACAAAGAGUUUAUCAGUUAUACAAGUCAGGCUUUAACGUCCAAAUAAUCAGAAUA
rnacentral:misc_RNA from 1 species